UACGGGGGGGGCAAGCGUUGUUCGGAAUUACUGGGCGUAAAGGGCUCGUAGGUGGCCAACUAAGUCAGACGUGAAAUCCCUCGGCUUAACCGGGGAACUGCGUCUGAUACUGGAUGGCUUGAGUUCGGGAGAGGGAGUGCGGAAUUCCAGGUGUAGCGGUGAAAUGCGUAGAUAUCUGGAGGAACACCGGUGGCGAAGGCGGCAUCCUGGACCGACACUGACACUGAGGAGCGAAAGCCAGGGGAGCAAACGGGAG
rnacentral:rRNA from 1 species